UCGUGUGUUGACAUGUCUGGUUGAUUCCGAUAACGAGCGAGACCACAAUCUGCUAAAUAGAAACGAUCAACUAUGUUUUGCAUGUUGGUUGGACUUCUUCUUAGAGAGACUACGAUUAUUUAAAAUCGGGGAAGUUUGUGGCGAUAACA
rnacentral:rRNA from 1 species